rnacentral:piRNA from 1 species
UAAGCAUCUGGUGUGAGGUACUGACU